CAAUGGUUGGUACAACGAGUUGCGAGUCGGUGACGGCGAGCUAAUCUACUUAAAGCCAAUCUCAGUUCGGAUUGUAGGCUGCAACUCGCCUACAUGAAGUCGGAAUCGCUAGUAAUCGCGGAUCAGCACGCCGCGGUGAAUACGUUCCCGGGCCUU
rnacentral:rRNA from 1 species